GCAAUACCAGGGCGGGGAGUCACAAGCAAGGACGAGACUGUGUUCCCUGAACAUGCCACCUGCUUUCUAUCUUCCAGGUCCUGGUACCCAGUGCCUACCUGACCCGGAGUCCACUGGUGAGUUCGUCAACCCGGAAGGGAUUGUCUACGCUUCUCUACAGGUCGGAAAAGGAGGAGAAGGCCCGAAGACCGGGAGCAAGGCCCCACGAGGGGACGGGGACGUUCUGUAUGCGGCCGUGCGGUUUCAGCCGGGGUCCCCAAAGAUUUACCCCCCCCCCCCCCCCCCCCCCACUCCUUUCUCCUUGCCCCACAAGAGCGCCGAGGCCCACAGGUCAGAGAAAGGCCUGGAUCCUGCCAGCCUGAAGUAGGCCUCUCUCCAUCACUGCUGACCAGGUCCGUUCAACCUCCGUUCGGUGCUCCCCAUUUGCACCCCACCCACACCUCGGAUGCCUUUAUACAAAAUGAAGCAGUAAACACGACCGGGCCUCAUCCUCCAGCGACCGCAUGCCUCCCCCCACCAACCCCCCCCACCUCCGGGGGUCAGAAACCCGGUUCAAAUCACUCCAUGGCUUCUAGAACAAAGAACAAAUGAGAAGUACAGCGCAGGAAGAGGCCCUUUGGCCCUCCAAGCCUGUCCUGGCCCUCAUGCCCUAACUAAAACCUUCUGCCCUUAUUUGAUGCCCUAUCCCUCUAUUCCCUCCUCAUCCACGUAACCAACCAGAUGCCUCUUUAAUUUCAGAAUUUAAAAACUACCCCUUGAUGACUGACAAAAUGGUGGCCAGGGAUGGGGGACUUGUCACCUUUGUUCAAUAAAAAUACCCUCAGCCCUUCAGAGGGGAGACGCAGUUUCAAUCCCCAACACCACCCUACCCCCUACCCCCAAAGUGACUCCAACCCCUCAGCCUGACACUCUCUAUCUUUCUCUUCCUCUCUCUUUCUUUCACCAAAAUUCGGGGCCGUUAACCCCCCCACCCCCUUGCGUUCGUCAAUAAACAGCAAAGCGCCAACGUCA